CGCGCGUUGCUGCGGGAUUAGAAACCAUGUUUCAAAGCUAUAAGAAAUUGUUACAAAAGUUAAUGUUAUUUACAUUGAAAGAUGUUUGAGCUUUUUAAAAGAAUUUUUACAUGAAGAGCAUAAAUUGAGUGAAUGAAACUCUUGGAAUUCUUUGAACCACUCUAUGAAUAGCAUGACCUGUAAAUGAUUGAUUGUGUAACAAAAUCAGUAAUAGAAAAACUUCCAACUCUUUCUAAAAAAGAACAUUUCCGACUCCAGUUGAUUUAGGCAGGACUGGGGAGAUAAAGAUGAGUAUUUUCUUCCUUGACCAACCAAAUAAUGGAAGGGAAGGAAUUUCAAUUUCUCCCAUUUUUUUCCCCUCUUUGCAGACUACACACGCCAUUCAGAAAGCAAUCCACAUAUUUAAUUCCUCUUGUAGCCAUAUCUUCUAACCCAACCCAAAUUAUAUACAAUUUAUUUAAUAAUGCAGUCAUCUUCCAAAAAUAAGGUCCAAAUACGCAAUCGGUUCCACCUUGCAUGUCUAUAUUUCUAUGGAUCAGAACAAUCUGCAAUGCACUUACUCCCAUUCUAAAUCCUUGUAACUUAUUGGGGUAAAAAGACAAUUCCCUUGCAAGAGCAAAAACACUAUGUUUGCUACUACUUAACUUAAAUACUUGCGCCAACAACAAUAACAAUAAAAAAUUAGCACAGAAAACGUAAGUCCGUAAAACACAAGGUACAUACCACAUGCAAUGAAUGACACCCUCAGAAGCUGAUGCUUCUUCUAGGAAAUGGAUUCUCUCCUGAGCAUAUGCUCAGGAUCCUGCUGAGCAGGACACGAGGACCGUUAGAUUUUCAUCCAACGGCUACAAUUAUUAUAACUUUAAAAGGACCUCCUUGUUUGUAGCCGUUGAAUUUUCAUCCAACGGUCCUCGUGUUCUGCUCAGCAGGAUCCUGAGCAUAUGCUCAGGAGAGAAUCCAUUUCCCUUCUUCUAGCCCACAUAUGGCACCACCUAUGAAACAUAGCUCCCUGUAAUGGUCAGGAAGAACAAUAACACAUAAAAUAAUGAAAGAACAGAAUCUGAUGGUGGAAGCCAAUACCGAACCGAAUAUAAUUAAAAUUACACAUUAAGAAUACCUCCAUGUACUUGUUCACUUGCCACCUCUUCCUCCUACAUUAUACACAUUAAAAUUACAUGGGGUACUGUAAUUUUAUUGUUUUCAGUUUAAUUAGUUUUCUUAUCAUAUCCUUGUUGGAAUAUAAUACGUGUUUCAUAGCGCUUUGUGACUUGAUCGCAUAUGAUCUUAUGCUCCACGACCUUACCAAAUUGUGAAAAGAAGCUUUCGAACUCAUGUGAUAUUCAAAUUGAAAAUCCUUAGUGAGAAGAUAACGAUUAAUCAGUUGUGCAAUGAAAAACAUAACGAACACAGCCAAUGGAGAAAACAAUUACAACAACCUUUCAUUAACCAUGGAUGGAAUACCGGCAACCAAACAGAAAACUGCAAAAGAAAGUUGAACUGAAGACGAAAGCCAACUCGAUCGAUCUCGUCCGCCUCGGCUAGGUAUGGUUCUCCCUUACUCGUUCUCUUCAACCCUUGCAGAAAAUCCUCUCAUCUCUCUGCAAAUCCCUCGUAGCCAUCGAAAUCAUCCCAUCUCUCUGCAGCGCCUGCGCCCAUUCGGUCCCAAACAGUGGUGACAAAAGUGCCCUCAGAAAUGUAAGUAAUGGCAGAAGCACACAGCCCAC
rnacentral:lncRNA from 1 species